GCACCAAUGGUGCAGCGGGAUCAUUGUACCCUCCCACGGUACAGACCCGAGUUCUACUACCGGUUUGUGCG
rnacentral:tRNA from 1 species